CACGUAGGGUGCAAGCGUUGUCCGGAAUUAUUGGGCGUAAAGAGCUCGUAGGCGGUGUGUCGCGUCGGCCGUGAAAACCUGCAGCUUAACUGUGGGCUUGCGGUCGAUACGGGCAUCACUGGAGUUCGGGCAGGGGAGACUGGAAUUCCAGGUGUAGCGGUGAAAUGGCGUAGAUAAUCUGGAGGAACACCGGUGGCGAAGGCGG
rnacentral:rRNA from 1 species